CAGCCCCGGCCCCAGGGACCAGCGCGCACGCCAGGGCCGCGCGCCGGCGGGUCACCCCGCGGCUGCUGACAAUUGAAUAAACAAGCCGAAGCCCUGCGAUCUGUCAGUGGCCGAGGCCGCCA
ensembl:misc_RNA